AAAAAAAAUGAAAGAAAGGAUUAAUGGGCCCUACCAUGUGCAUUUGGUAUCUGGAGACUCUUAGCCAAUUAUUGAAGAUGAGAAAUCACAAUCUUCCCUUUCCAUCCAUGUACGCAAGUUGCCUGGUUGCUAUCUGAAUAGAAGCAGAACAAGAAGAUCGAUCAUACACAUCAAAACACGCGAAAAAUGUGCUCUUUUGUAUUCAGUCUGUCUCUCACAGGAACAUCACACACAGAAGACAACAAAUUUAGUGAUAUGAUUUGUGAUUCUAAGAAGCAGAAGCAGAAGCAGGAGCAGGUCAUUUGGGAAAUAAGAAGACGAAGAGCUGUCAACACUUUCCAACAAUUUGACGAUGAUUUAUCAAAUUAUGAAGAAGCAGUUCUACUUUAAUACGAGCAUCAUAAAGCAACCAAAAUGGAGCUUUAAGAGUCAAAAUUAACAUCCUAAAUUUUGAAGGAAGUGCCACUCGAUGAGCUUUUUGAAAUGUAAAUAAGGGUGUGAUCGGAGAAGCAGCUUGAGAAAAGAUGCGAAUAACGUCCAAAGCAAAGUAUGUCUAAUUUACAACAAGAACAUAUGAUUGAAUUUAAAGUCUUUUGCAACAUCUUUGUGCUUAAAAAGUAAACAAUUGCAGGAUCUCAUCAAGGGUUGAAAUCUAUCUAGGAUUAUAAUGUUGUUCAACUCCAAUUAUAUUAGACAUUGAUAACAGUAGUUAUACAAAUAGUAUUGUGGUUACUAAAAUGGUUGAUAAGCUUAACCUUGUAAUAGAAGAUCAUCUUUCUUCAUACAUAAGCUUUCAUGGUAAGAAAGAAGAAUGAUGUUAAGAUAACAUAACUAGUCUUACUAAAUUCAAGGCUAAGGGAUUAAUGAAGGAGAGUAUUACGUCUAGCUAAGUAUAUUUCUCCAUUCCACAAUGAUCUACCAGAACAAUUUCAUGGUGCGAUUGUGUUUUUAAAGAAAGACAUGCGAAGUGGCUACCAUCAAAUUGAUACAAGUCUAUUAGAUGAAUUAUUGCGUUUAAAAUAAGAGAUUGAUUGUACAAACGGAUGGUUAUACCUUCCAAUCUCUCCAAUGCUCAAAGCAUCUUUAUGCAUCUCAUGAA